rnacentral:rRNA from 1 species
GACGACGCUGGCGGCGGGCUUAACACAUGCAAGUCGAACGAGUGGCGGACGGGUGAGUAAUGUCUGGGAAACUGCCUGAUGGAGGGGGAUAACUACUGGAAACGGUAGCUAAUACCGCAUACCAUCGGAUGUGCCCAGAGGGGAUUAGCUAGUAGGGGGGGUAAAGGCUCACCUAGGCGACGAUCCCUAGCUGGUCUGGGAGGAUGACCAGCAACGCUGGACCUGAGACACGGUCCAGACUCCUACGUGGGGCAGCAGUGGGGAAUAUUGCACAAGGGGCGCAAUCCUGAUGCAGCCAUGCCGCGUGUAUGAAGAAGGCCGUAGGGGUGUAAAGUACUUUCAGCGGGGAGGCGUUACCCGCAGAAGAAGCACCGGCUAACUCCGUGCCAGCAGCCGCGGUAAUUC